AUCAGAAGGCGAUUAACACAAUGCAUCUCGUGAUGGCUGUGCCUGUCAGUUACGUGGAGCUUUGCCCAGGGAUUUCCUGAGCCUGCUGGAUUUACAGGGAUAUUUGGCCAUCUGAGGAUUAAUGCUGGUGGAAGCAUGCACUGGAAUUACACACACCCGGCACAUUUCAGGAUGCUAAAAGUAGUUUUGAGGAAGGCCCUGGCUGAGUGCCUUGUGGAUUCUCUCAGCCCUCAUAGCCCAUGGAGGACGGAGGUCAGCAGCUGCCUGCGAGGGCUCAGCUCUCUCACCGGUUGGGUCUUUCUCUGCCGUCACCCUUUGGGACAUCCUAUGGAAUGUGAGUCCUCUGUCUCCUGCUUGUUAAGCAUCUCAUGCAAGUUCUGUCCAGUGUUCUGCUGGGCUUUCAGGAAGGCUGUCCUGGCUGGUGGUUUGCUGUGAUGUGGCUGGUUGUCAAAAGGAACUGGUAUUUAGUGACACUCCCCCACCCCCACACAUCUGGCAUGGUGCUGGUGCAUGGGGGGACAGAUGGAAACGGAUUGGUACUUCCUGGGAGCUGCCACUGUUAUUGUGCUGACUUGUGUCAUCGCACCUCUUCGGGAAUUUCCUGGUUCGUGUGUCUGACCCCAUCUACUUGACUAUUGUCUUUGGCUUUGUUGCUGUUACAAAGGAGGCAGCAGACCUAUCUAUUCAUCACACUGUGAAUGCUGGGAGAGACACAAAGAUGAGUCUUAGCAUCUACUACCUUCAAGACAUUCACAAUUGAAUAAGCUACCCAGGUGAUAAGGACCUUGUAAAACGUCAGAGAGGGGCCCUCAGCGAUCAGCUGGCCGUCAUCAUCCUGCCUGCUUAGAGAUGGGAAAACACAGAUCCGGAGACAUCGGAGCAAAUUAGGGAGUGACAUGCAAAUCCAGCAGACCUCCAGUCCAGGUGUCCCUAUCUUGAACUCAGUCCUCUUGACGUUGUUUCUGGUCCCGGAGUACUGUUUUCUCAAACUUUGCCUCCAGAUGUCUCCACGUCAGGAGGACCUUGUCGGUGUGCUCAAGUGGCAAAGUGGAGUUUGCUGGACUUUUCCCAGUGUGGAAAGGAGGUUGCUAUGGCAGUGACCUGUACCUGAGAUGAAGUUGAAGAGAAUCAUGGGAAGAAUGUGAUGGUUCUUUGCAGAUCAGCAAAGGACUGCGGCUCAGAGAGAUGAGAAAACUGUUGCUCAGAGAAGUUACGUAACUUGGCCCCCUGAGAAGUAGCACCAGUGAAAACCCAAGUUCUAAAGACAGUUCGAGGACACAGUAGUCCCCUCUGCGAGCUGAUGGAUCAAUGUGGUCCUCCUGGAAUGAAACGUGUCCUUGUGCUGGUAGGAGUGGAGAGCACGUGUCAUUUUCCCUUCCCCUCCUGCCUUAUCUCUGAGAUUUUAAUCCAGGCUUCUUCUUUUCAGGGGACUGAGUUGCUCUCGACUCAGGAGAUAGUCCCAGCACUAACACUGACACCGAGAAAAUGGAAUACUUUAUCUGAGAGGACAGAAGACACAUCAAACUGGAAAAAGGAGCCCUGAAAAUUGGCACAUUCCCCCCACAGAGGACAGCACAUCCCCUUCCUCUCAUAACGUGUGAUGCAUUUACCCGUGAUUUGGUCACUGCUGAGCCAUCUUCAUUUAAUGCACAUUUGACAGAAUAGUUGGUCUGGAAAUUUUAUUUUCAAUUAAACUUACUUGUUGAACUGCCUUGGUUUUGAAAAGAUCCCAUUAGGAUGGCUAAUUAUAUAGCAGUUUCCACAAGGAGA